rnacentral:piRNA from 1 species
UCCACCUCUUGAAUGCUGGGAUGUGCACC